CUGACGUGGGGCAACUGUCAUAGGGAUGACUCUCGGGGGGCUUUGGGGACAACUGACGUGGGGCUGACUGUUGCAGGGACCAUCAGGGCUGACUGUUGGUGGAUGCGCGUGGACUGAUGGCCACGGAGCAGCACUCCUGGCAGGGGAGCACCACAGGAGCCACCCACGCUGCUGGAGGAGGAGGAGCUGCAGGAAGCUGUGGACUUGCUGCUGUGCCCCCACCGGAGCUGGCCCCACAUUGCCUCUCUUGUCCUGGGUGACCACCACAAUGGGUGGAGCCUGAACCAUGGGCUGGCUGACCACGGUAGAUGUUUGAUGGACAAUUUAUGGAUGUUGGAAAGACAAUUUCUGCAGCUGAAGGGACCGAUAGCUGCGCAGCUGUUGCAGGAUGGGCAGGAGGUGGUGGCUGGUGGUGUGGCACAAGGUGGGACCAAGCAGGACGCUGCUGCAGUGGGGCGCGGGCUGCAGUGGUCCUGGCUUUGGCUGGGCUGGAGUUGGGCUGGUCCUCACAGCCGCCCCGUACAGUGCAGGCGCGGGGUCGGUGACCGCAGCAGGUCUGCAGAAGGUCUCCAGGUCUCUCCUUGCCUCUGUUUCCCUCUCUGCCUGCCCAUCUAUCUGUCCAGUUCCCCAAACCUUUUGCUCUUCUGCCAACGCCGCCCCGUACCCUGUCACCAUUGACGUUUUUCCCACAUUGCCUCUAUCUGGCACCAUACCUGUAUUUUUAAAGUUUUUCCUAUGUUUAAUUUUACCCCGUUCCGGCUCCCUCCCCCACCUCUUCUGGCAUCCGUCCUCCCUCCCUCUGUCCUGCUGCCCUGGGGCACUGCUGGCUGCGCUGCUGCCGGGAUGAAUAAACAUUUCUCUGUCCCUCUG